CGGCACUCUUUUAGGAGAGGGAUUAGGCCUUCGAGAAAUAGGUUUUUAUGUGUCCAAGUCUAAAAAGAACUGCCCCUUGCAGCUGGAAUUAAGGUAGGAUAAGAUUAGGAUAGGAUAAGAUAAGAUAAGGUUUGUUUGGAUAAGAUAAGGUUGGAUAAGGUUUUGGAUAAUGUUCCUUCUUUUUAGUUGAAUCCUUAUCUUCUUUGUCUUGAAUUUAUUUUCUUCAUCUUUUCAGCAUAUUCCUAGCCUCUUGAACUUCAAAAAUGUCCAUCCACCUUGCUCCAUGUAUGUGCUAUCCAUUCUUGGCCCAAAACU
rnacentral:lncRNA from 1 species